GAUUAUGGCUCAGGAUGAACGCUAGCUACAGGCUUAACACAUGCAAGUCGAGGGGCAGCAUGGUCUUAGCUUGCUAAGGCUGAUGGCGACCGGCGCACGGGUGAGUAACGCGUAUCCAACCUUCCCCUUAGUAGGGCAUAGCCCGGCGAAAGUCGGAUUAACACCCUAUGUUUUCCGUUGCGGGCAUCUAAUAUGGAACAAAGAUUUAUCGCUAAGGGAUGGGGAUGCGUCUGAUUAGGUAGUAGGCGGGGUAACGGCCCACCUAGCCCUCGAUCAGUAGGGGUUCUGAGAGGAAGGUCCCCCCACAUUGGAACUGAGACACGGUCCAAACUCCUACGGGAGGCAGCAGUGAGGAAUAUUGGUCAAUGGCCGAGAGGCUGAACCAGCCAAGUAGCGUGCAGGACGACGGCCCUAUGGGUUGUAAACUGCUUUUAUGCGGGGAUAAAGUCGCCCACGUGUGGGUGUUUGCAGGUACCGCAUGAAUAAGGACCGGCUAAUUCCGUGCCAGCCGCCGC
rnacentral:rRNA from 1 species